GUUCGGUGGAAACGAGAAUAAAACGUGAAGGAUAACGUUGCUUUAGCAACGGCCCGUAGGGCGAGGCGAAGCCGAGUCAUCCUGCACGACCCACCA
rnacentral:sRNA from 1 species